rnacentral:rRNA from 1 species
UACGGGGGGUGCGAGCGUUGUCCGGAAUCACUGGGCGUAAAGGGCGCGUAGGUGGUUUGAUAAGGGUGUGGUGAAAGUCCGGGGCUCAACCCCGGAUCUGCCGUGCCGACUGUCAAACUCGAGGGCUGUAGAGGCAGACGGAAUUCCGGGUGUAGCGGUGGAAUGCGUAGAGAUCCGGAGGAAGGCCGGUGGCGAAGGCGGUCUGCUGGGCAGUUUCUGACACUGAGGCGCGACAGCGUGGGGAGCAAACAGG